GACGAAGGAUGCAAGCGUUAUCCGGAUUCAUUGGGUUUAAAGGGUGCGUAGGCGGUCUUAUAAGUCAGUGGUGAAAUACGGCAGCUCAACUGUCGAGGUGCCAUUGAUACUGUAGGACUUGAGUACAGACGAGGUAGGCGGAAUUGACGGUGUAGCGGUGAAAUGCUUAGAUAUCGUCAAGAACACCGAUAGCGAAGGCAGCUUACUAGGCUGUAACUGACGCUGAGGCACGAAAGUGUGGGGAUCAAACAGG
rnacentral:rRNA from 1 species